GAUUUCCUCAUGUUGCCCAGGCUGUCCUCAAACUCCCGGCCUCAAGCUGUCCUCCAACUUCAGCCUCCCGAGUAGCUGACAUGACAAAUAUUUUUCUCUUCCACUGAAAGACGGUCUUGAAGGUCGAUCUUCAGAGAUUAUACCAGUUUGCCUGGGCGGCUGUAAUGAAGUACCACCGGCUGGCCAGGACAUAACCAGCCCGCAGCAGGGCAGGUGAAGGAGCGCACACCUGCGGACCUCUCCACCGGAGGAGAGAAUCCCGUCUGCCGACGGACAAGGGCGUAUCCACCUCUUUGUCUCAGCCCUUCUCGGGGCACAGCUCGACCUUCCCA